UUCAGUAUAUCUAAUUGUAUUCAACAAUGGUAACAUCUUCUGCGAGUGAUUGUGGCGUUAAUCAUAGAAAUAAUCCUGAAAAUUGCACAUUUCACAGAUUCCCUCUAUAGAUAUUAUAAUAAGCCGAACGUGGUUGAAAUAAGUUGGACGCGUUGGUUGGAAUCCAAAGAAGAACUCUACCAUUUGCAGCAAUUCGACUUAAGAAUGAAUGUAAACUUCAUAAUUUAGGAAACGAAACUGUAAUGAACCAGUUAAAUAAAUAAAUAUGUGGGAACAUCUCAGACACGGCCAUCCGAGGCAGAGCCUGUAAUAUGGGUCAGACAGCUGAUAUAUCUAAGAUUGUUCUGUUUAAAAGUCAAUAAAAUAAGGAGCGAUGAAAAAAGUGUUUUUAUUUUUAUUUAUGCAUUUUUUUACACUAUGUCAAAAUUAUAAUCUGGACAACAACAGUCUAUGGAACAACUCUCCAAGGGUCGAACAUCGAACUUCAAUAACUUAUCGAUGGUCCUCCAAAGUAAAGAAAGGUACAUCACUAGCUAAUGCACACACUGAAAAAUCAAAAUUGGUCACGUUUUAUCGAGCUGUCAGUUCGUCUAUACGCUAGUAUAUACUAAGUCUAUG